rnacentral:rRNA from 1 species
ACGCUGGCGGCGUGCCUAAUACAUGCAAGUAGAACGCACAGGAUGCACCGUAGUUUACUACACCGUAUUCUGUGAGUUGCGAACGGGUGAGUAACGCGUAGGUAACCUGCCUGGUAGCGGGGGAUAACUAUUGGAAACGAUAGCUAAUACCGUAUAAGAACAUUUACUGCAUGGUAGAUGUUUAAAAGGUGCAAGAGCAUCACUACCAGAUGGACCUGCGUUGUAUUAGCUAGUUGGUGAGGUAACGGCUCACCAAGGCAACGAUACAUAGCCGACCUGAGAGGGUGAUCGGCCACACUGGGACUGAGACACGGCCCAGACUCCUACGGGAGGCAGCAGUAGGGAAUCUUUGGCAAUGGGGGGAACCCUGACCGAGCAACGCCGCGUGAGUGAAGAAGGUUUUCGGAUCGUAAAGCUCUGUUGUUAAGGAAGAACGUGUGUGAGAGUGGAAAGUUCACACAGUGACGGUACUUAACCAGAAAGGGACGGCUAACUACGUGCCAGCAGCCGCGGUAAUACGUAGGUCCCGAGCGUUGUCCGGAUUUAUUGGGCGUAAAGCGAGCGCAGGCGGUUAGAUAAGUCUGAAGUGAAAGGCAGUGGCUCAACCAUUGUAGGCUUUGGAAACUGUUUAACUUGAGUGCAGAAGGGGAGAGUGGAAUUCCAUGUGUAGCGGUGAAAUGCGUAGAUAUAUGGAGGAACACCGGUGGCGAAAGCGGCUCUCUGGUCUGUAACUGACGCUGAGGCUCGAAAGCGUGGGGAGCGAACAGGAUUAGAUACCCUGGUAGUCCACGCCGUAAACGAUGAGUGCUAGGUGUUAGGUCCUUUCCGGGACUUAGUGCCGCAGCUAACGCAUUAAGCACUCCGCCUGGGGAGUACGACCGCAAGGUUGAAACUCAAAGGAAUUGACGGG